rnacentral:rRNA from 1 species
AUACAGAGGGUGCGAGCGUUAAUCGGAAUUACUGGGCGUAAAGCGCGCGUAGGCGGAUUGGUCAGUUAGGGGGGAAAUCCCAGGGCUUAACCCUGGAACUGCCUCUAAUACUGCCAGUCUUGAGUUCGGGAGAGGUGAGUGGAAUUCCUAGUGUAGAGGUGAAAUUCGUAGAUAUUAGGAAGAACACCAGUGGCGAAGGCGGCUCACUGGCCCGAUACUGACGCUGAGGCGCGAAAGCGUGGGGAGCAAACAGGAUUAGAAACCCUAGUAGUCC